CAAUAGCGUAUAUUAAAGUUGUUGCAGUUAAAAAGCUCGUAGUUGGAUUUCGGGGCAGCCUGGCUGGUCCGCCGCAAGGCGAGUACUGGUCAGCCGCCCUUCCUCUCGAAAGCCCCGACUGCUCUUUAUUGCAGUGGUCGGGUAGUUCGGGACGUUUACUUUGAAAAAAUUAGAGUGUUCAAGGCAGGCCUACGCCUGAAUACAUUAGCAUGGAAUAAUGGAAGAGGACCUCGGUCCUAUUUUGUUGGUUUCCAGGACCGAAGUAAUGAUUAAGAGGGACAGUUGGGGGCAUUCGCAUUUAAUUGUCAGAGGUGAAAUUCUCGGAUUUAUGAAAGACGAACAACUGCGAAAGCAUUUGCCAAGGAUGUUUUCAUUAA
rnacentral:rRNA from 1 species